rnacentral:rRNA from 1 species
AUUGAACGCUGGCGGCAUGCCUAAUACAUGCAAGUCGAGCGGACGAAUGAAGCUCUUUCCUCUCUUCAGUUACCGACGGGUGAGUAAUUCCCAGGUAUCUGCCCUGCCUUUGAGGCUGACAUCCCUUCGCGGGCGCUAAUAUCACACCCGUCCUUAUGUUGAAACGCGUGGUUCAUUAGACCUCACGCUAUCUGCUGACCCUAGGUCGGAUUAGCUAGUUGGUGGGGUAAAGGCCUACCAAGGCGACGAUCCGUAACUGGUCUGAGAGGCUGAUCAGUCACACUGGAACUGAGACACGGUCCAGACUCCUACGGGAGGCAGCAGUGGGGAAUAUUGGACAAUGGGCGAAAGCCUGAUCCAGCCAUGCCGCGUGUGUGAAGAAGGUCUUCGGAUUGUAAAGCACUUUAAGUUGGGAGGAAGGGCAGUAAGUUAAUACCUUGCUGUUUUGACGUUACCAACAGAAUAAGCACCGGCUAACUUCGUG